rnacentral:rRNA from 1 species
UAAUACAGAGGGCGCGAGCGUUGUCCGGAAUCACUGGGCGUAAAGGGCGCGUAGGUGGCCACUAUAAGGCCGCGGUGAAAGUUCGGGGCUCAACCCUGAAUCUGCCGCGGCGACUGUAGGGCUUGGGCACUGUAGAGGCAGAUGGAAUUCCGGGUGUAGCGGUGGAAUGCGUAGAGAUCCGGAAGAACACCGGUGGCGAAGGCGGUCUGCUGGGCAGUGGACCCGUGAGGGUCCAAUAGCCGACACUGAGGCGCGACAGCGUGGGGAGCAAACAGGAUUAGAUACCCUGGUAGUCCACGCCGUAAACGAUGGGCACUAGGUGCUCCGGGGAGCGACCCUUGGAGUACCGGCGCUAACGCAUGAAGUGCCCCGCCUGGGGAGUACGGCCGCAAGGCUG